CUGUGGAAAGGUAUAAUGGAGUUUAAUAGUAGAGAAGACACUCCGAGACAGAGUGGAUCUGGAAGGAUCUGGAAGUGAAGCUGAACUGUGUGGGCAGCUAUGGAGCCAGCAUACCAAACGGGGCAACAGUGAGUUACCAGAUAUGAGGGAACAGGAAAGAAACCAGCCUAAACAGGUCAGAGUGGGUUUGAGAGAGAGAAGAGAACACCAGGAUAGGGUCUCCAACGCAGGCCAAGAGCGUGGCAGGUAUGCUUGGAAUAAAUCAAGAGGGACAGGCUGAAAGUAGAGAGAGCAGCAAGGAGACUCUGAAGUGACCUAAGAACUGGAAAUGGCCUCCUCUGGUAAAGCAUGAUCUGGGUGCUUAAAUUCUAGAUAGGGUUUUAAGGAGGGGCCCAGUGGUAAGAACCAGGAUUCCCUCGGGUCUAUCUCUGAACCACUGCAGAGGAUAUGGUUCCCAAGGCUCGGGGAUGGAUGUGUAGGAGGCACUGGUUGGAGGAUGCUGCGUUGCCUAGCUUAGCUUUGGAGUAUAGAGAAGCUAUCAGGGCGAUACUAUCAUGUGAAUGAUAUGGGAACAGAAUUUUCCACACAGGACACACAGAGACGGGAAAGAGAUGAGAUCUAAGAGCUCACAUCAGAUGGUCUAAUGCCAGAGGAAACAGACCCAAAGCAGAAAACUGACAGAAGAAAGCUGUGACAGUGAACAUGGCCACCUGCCAGAGGGGAGGCAAGGGCAGGGGACCUCCAAUGUAGUACCACGUCAAUGUAGUACCACGUCAAUGUAGUACCACGUCAAUGUAGUACCACGUCAAUGUAGUACCACGUCAAUGUAGUACCACGUCAAUGAACGGAGAACUCUAAAUUCACCCUCGGUGCCGGCGAUGGGCGGAGCCUGGUGACUGAGUUUUACUGAGGAUGGUUGCAGAAAACUAAUUGGAAAGAGAGAGAGAGAGAGAGAGAGAGAGAGAGAGAGAGAGAGAGAGAGAGAGAGAGAGAGAGAGAAUGAGUAUGUAUAAUGUUGCCAAGUCAUUUUAUAGCAACAGAGAAGAAG
rnacentral:lncRNA from 1 species